rnacentral:rRNA from 1 species
UACGUAGGGGGCAAGCGUUAUCCGGAAUUACUGGGUGUAAAGGGAGCGUAGACGGUAAUGUAAGUCUGGAGUGAAAGGCGGGGGCCCAACCCCCGGACUGCUCUGGAAACUAUGUUACUAGAGUGCAGGAGAGGUAAGCGGAAUUCCUAGUGUAGCGGUGAAAUGCGUAGAUAUUAGGAGGAACACCAGUGGCGAAGGCGGCUUCCUGGUCUGUAACUGACACUGAGGCGCGAAAGCGUGGGGAGCAAACAGG